CUCAGGCCUCAGCCACCACAGUAAGUGGAACUCUAUACCUCCACCUCGCCUGGCUGGGUGGAGCCUCUAAACUCAGGAUUCUGCCUUGAGCUGUGGCUCUCCCCUCAGGUUGACAGGGUCCAGAGCAAAACCUACGGAAGAAGCUGCAGAGGCCAGGUGGAGGGAAGGAUGCUGAACUGGAGGAGGCCAGGAAAUUAUGAGAAUGUGCACUGCCAUCUGUGGCUGUCUUCCUGCUGGCAAAUCCUUUUCAUUCCAAGCAAAUAAGAUUCCCUAAAUUAGACAAAAAGGAAGAAACACAACAGAGUCCAUAAUUCUGAGAGGAAGAGAAGAGUGAUCAUCAGCAGCAAAAGGCAAUUGCAGAGAAGCACCACCAAGAGCCAGCUUCAUGCUCAGGAGUGAAUGCUGAGCCGCCUCCUCGUGGUUUCCGGUGCUCCACAUGUUCAGAGAAACUUCUCUGAUGGAGUCUUCCUCUGCUGACCAGGAUGGAGUGCAUGCAGUGGCACAAUCUCGGCUCACGGUAACCUCUGCCUCCUGGGUUCAAGCAAUUCUCCUGCCUCAGCCUCCCGAGUAGCUGGGAUUACAGGCAUAUGCCACCACACCAGGCUAAUUUUUGUAUUUUUAGUAGAGACGGGGUUUCACCAUGUUGAUCAGGCUGGUUUUUAACUCCUGACCUCAAGUGGUCUACCCUCCUCUGCCUCCCAAAGUGCUGGGAUUACAGACAUGAACCACUGCACCCAGCUGGUUAAUUUAUUAUUAAAGAAAGAAAAUUGUAAAAGGUAAAUUUAAUGUGGCCAAAGUGUCCAGUGCUUAUAAAAUCUACAGUAGUAUAAUGUCCUAGGCCUUCAUAUUCACUUACCACCCACUCACUCAUCCAGAGCAACUUCCAGUCCUGCCAAGCUUCAUUCCUGUUAGGUGUCCUAUAUAGGGGUACCAAUUUUUACUUUUAUUUUUUAUUUAUUUUUUUUGAGACGGAGUCUUGUUCUGUCCCCAGGCUGGAGUGCAGUGGUGUGAUAUUGACUCACUGCAACCUCCAACUCCCAGGUUCACGCGAUGCUCCUGCCUCAGCCUCCCGAGUAGCUGGGACUACAGGCACACACCACCACACCCAGCUAAUUUUUUUUGUAUUUUUACUAGAGACGGGGUUUCACCAUGCUGGCCAGGCUGGUCUCGAUCUCCUGACCUUGUGAUCCGCCUGCCUCGGCCUCCCAAAGUGCCGGGAUUACAGGCAUGAGCCACCACGCCCAGCCAAUUUUUAUCUUUUAUAUCAUAUUUUUACCAUACUUUGUCUAUGUUUAGUGAACAAAUACCGUUGUGUUACCGUUGCCUACAGUAUUGAGUGCAGUGGCGUGCUGCACAUGUCUGCAGCCUGGGAGCAAUGGGCUGUAGCACAGAGCCUGGGUGUGUAGAAGGCUGCACCUUCUGGGUUUGUGUAAGUGCACUCUGUGGUAUUCGCAUAAUGAUGAAAUUGCUUAAUGACACUCUUCUCAGAACGUAUCCCUGUCGUUCAGUGAUGCAUGAGAGUAUUUUAAAGGUAGAUUAAUCAUGAGAUGAACAGUGGUGGAAUUUGAUAAAUAGGUAGAAAUUGGCUUCAAGGAGAAUUUUAGUGGUGAUUCCAAGCCUACAUUUAAUCAUUUUAUUAACUUGGAUAAAGACAUCAAUGGCACAUUGAUGAAUGUGCCAUAUGGCAUUUAGUAAAAAGGGAUGGCUCCACUCAAGAGGACAUUAUCGUGAGCCAAAGGGACUCCGAGAGGCUGAAAUGAUUUCCCUAGAUAUAACUAAAUACAGUUUAGCAGAAACGAAUAACCAAUUUCUAUAUUUGGAAAUGCCAUCGUGCCUUCCCCCACCCCAAUCACCUUCAAUACCAAAUUGUAUAGGACACACCUGGUAACUGCACGUAGCCUCCUCUCCCCCUCCUUUGUUGGGACAAUGGGGCUGAUAGAAGAAAACUGGAUUUUUUUUUCCAGUUUUGUUUUCCAGCAACCCCUCAGGACUCUGGUAUUUUUGUUAAUUAUUUGGGAUUUAGGAAUUAAGAGUGAGACCUGACUGAGUCAUGAAAAGGAUGGAGUCUAUAUUCCAAUUUAGAAAGUGGUUUCUGAGACCAUCCCCUGGGGUGGUCAGCAUACCCCAGAGAGGUGAUCAGUUCUGGACAGAGCAUCUUGAGCAGGAAAGCAAUAAUAAACCGGGGUGUGUUUUGAGGAUGGCACCAUGCUUGAGACGGUGUCAUGUGAAGCAGACUGGAAGGAACUGUGGAUGCUGAAUGUGGGGAAGAGAAGACUCUAGAAGCACACCGUCACUGCCUUCAGGUGUUGGAAAGGCCGGCACCAGGGAGAAGGCUGAGACUUGUUCUGUGGGGCAUUAAUGGAAGGAUGCUCAACUGGAUCUUAUACUGAAAGCAAAUAUGAGAUCAAGUCUGCCAGGGUAGGUGUGGAGAAAGUGGCCCUGUAAGCCAAGGGGCUAUUGAGUUCAAUCCUGGAUGUCAUUCCAGCUGGUGGGGUGCGGUGGAAACACCAGGGAAGGGCAGGGGUAGGGGGGGACCAGCCAUGCAGGGGAGAAGGCAAGUCCUCAGACCCCUGUUCUGUGUGGCACUGUGCGGAAGAGGGGAAGGCUGCCUCACUUCACCCUGUGUGCCAGUCCUUUAUCUAACUAAAUCUCCACAGAAAAUCCACAAGAUGGGGUUGAAUGACCUUUUGUUAUCCAGAAAAGAAACAGCCUGAGGAGUAAAGUCACCUGACUGAGGUCACUCUGCUAGAAGGUGGGGCAGGGAUUCAGCCCCCGGUGCUGUCCCUGACUCUCUUUCUGCGUGGAGGGAUUCAGGCUCAGCCUCCAGGAACCGGAGACCAGAGCUCCCUAUCUGGGACCCAGCCACUGAGACGUCAGGUCACAAAGAUGGAUAGAACCAGAGGCACUGGGGAGCCGGAGAGCUUUGGAAAUGGGCAUCUUUAUGUCCUUCUGCCUCAGUCUAGAGCUGAGAUUUGUGAAAGGGCCAAAUCAGGGGUAGGAAGAGGGUGCAGUGUAUCCUCCGAGGUGGGAGGAGGCCGGGCCAUUUGACCAUAUCUUUCUCUUCAGAGUUCACUGUUCCCAAAGACACAUUAUAUGUCAUCCAUUUUUAUAUAAAUGGUGAGUUCCCAAAUGGGAUUUAAAGACAGCCUAGCAAAUCUUUACAUCCCUUGGAACUUAAAACAAAGCUUUUCCUUCACAGAAUUCUAAUCUCUCUUGAAUAAGAGGCUACGAAACUGAGGGACAUUAUAAUAACCUUCAUUUAAAAUUAGAUUCUGGAUGUUCUGGUGACUUAGCUGAAAACAGCUCAAAUCAGCGAAAACCUUUACAAAGACUUUUCGAAAGUUGGAAGACAUAUCUGUACACACAGGGCGUAGAGCCGGACUUGGCCAGUAUGUGCCUUCUGCCUCCUCCUGGCAAUGCUUACCCCUUAUUACUGUUAUUUCUGAGACGUGAAUGUUUUCUCAUAGUGAAUGUAGCAGUAAUAGUAAUAAUAAUAAUAAUAAUAAUAAUAAUAAUAAUAAUGAUAAAGAACAGCAACAUUUCUCACAAACCCAUUUCCUGAGUAUUAGCAGAUUUGCUACUGGGCCUUGGUUCCCCUUAGAUCUUGGCUUAAAUGAAUGCUUAAUAAUGAUAACAGAGGCUGGGUGCCAUGUCUUAUGUUGGUAAUCCCAGCACUUUGGAUCACUUGAGGCCAGGAGUUCGAGACCAUCCUGGCCAACAUGGCGAAACCCUGUCUCUACUAACAAUGCAAAAAUUAGCCAGGUGUAGUGGCACAAAUUAGCCGGGUGUAGUGGCACAAAUUAGCCAGGUGUAGUGGCACACCCCUGUAAUUCCAGCUACUUGGGAGGUUGGGGCAUGAGAAUGGCUUGAACCUGGGAGGCGGAGGUUGCAGUGAGCCAAGAUCACAGCACUGCGUUCCAGCCUGGGCAAUAGAGGCACUCUGUCACAAAAG
rnacentral:lncRNA from 1 species